rnacentral:tRNA from 1 species
GCCUGGGUGGCUCAGUCGGUUAAGUGUCCAACUUCAGCUCAGGUUGCGAUCUUGCAUUUUGUGGGUUCAAGCCCCAUCUCAGACU